CAAAGCCACUCAUCGCUUCUAUCAGCUGAGUUUCCUGUUACAAAAUCAACACAGUUUCUCUCAUCUACAAACGCUCAGAGUUCACAGAUCACAGCCGGAGUUCAGUGUGCUACUGUGGGAUCCAUAGUGAUGGAGAACAUUGAACUUUGCACAGCACUCUGAGAUCAAUGUUAAUCGCAUGGUGAUAUGAUCAGCCAGUCCAAUUUCCCUCCAGCAGCGCGUGAGGUGCACCAAUUAUAAGUCAACAGAGGGAGAACAGGAUGCGAACAGACAGCGUGUAUCUCGUCUCUCUUCUUCUCAGCACCUG